AGAGUUUGAUCAUGGCUCAGAUUGAACGCUGGCGGCAGGCCUAACACAUGCAAGUCGAGCGGUAGCACAGAAGAGCUUGCUCUUUGGGUGACGAGCGGCGGACGGGUGAGUAAUGUCUGGGAAACUGCCUGAUGGAGGGGGAUAACUACUGGAAACGGUAGCUAAUACCGCAUAACCUCGCAAGAGCAAAGAGGGGGACCUUAGGGCCUCUCGCCAUCAGAUGUGCCCAGAUGGGAUUAGCUAGUAGGUGAGGUAAUGGCUCACCUAGGCGACGAUCCCUAGCUGGUCUGAGAGGAUGACCAGCCACACUGGAACUGAGACACGGUCCAGACUCCUACGGGAGGCAGCAGUGGGGAAUAUUGCACAAUGGGCGCAAGCCUGAUGCAGCCAUGCCGCGUGUGUGAAGAAGGCCUUCGGGUUGUAAAGCACUUUCAGCGGGGAGGAAGGCAGUAAGGUUAAUAACCUUAUUGAUUGACGUUACCCGCAGAAGAAGCACCGGCUAACUCCGUGCCAGCAGCCGCGGUAAUACGGAGGGUGCAAGCGUUAAUCGGAAUGACUGGGCGUAAAGCGCACGCAGGCGGUCUGUUAAGUUGGAUGUGAAAUCCCCGGGCUUAACCUGGGAACUGCAUUCAAAACUGACAGGCUAGAGUCUUGUAGAGGGGGGUAGAAUUCCAGGUGUAGCGGUGAAAUGCGUAGAGAUCUGGAGGAAUACCGGUGGCGAAGGCGGCCCCCUGGACAAAGACUGACGCUCAGGUGCGAAAGCGUGGGGAGCAAACAGGAUUAGAUACCCUGGUAGUCCACGCUGUAAACGAUGUCGAUUUGGAGGUUGUGCCCUUGAGGCGUGGCUUCCGGAGCUAACGCGUUAAAUCGACCGCCUGGGGAGUACGGCCGCAAGGUUAAAACUCAAAUGAAUUGACGGGGGCCCGCACAAGCGGUGGAGCAUGUGGUUUAAUUCGAUGCAACGCGAAGAACCUUACCUACUCUUGACAUCCACAGAAUUCGGCAGAGAUGCCUUAGUGCCUUCGGGAACUGUGAGACAGGUGCUGCAUGGCUGUCGUCAGCUCGUGUUGUGAAAUGUUGGGUUAAGUCCCGCAACGAGCGCAACCCUUAUCCUUUGUUGCCAGCGAUUCGGUCGGGAACUCAAAGGAGACUGCCGGUGAUAAACCGGAGGAAGGUGGGGAUGACGUCAAGUCAUCAUGGCCCUUACGAGUAGGGCUACACACGUGCUACAAUGGCGUAUACAAAGAGAAGCGACCUCGCGAGAGCAAGCGGACCUCAUAAAGUACGUCGUAGUCCGGAUUGGAGUCUGCAACUCGACUCCAUGAAGUCGGAAUCGCUAGUAAUCGUAGAUCAGAAUGCUACGGUGAAUACGUUCCCGGGCCUUGUACACACCGCCCGUCACACCAUGGGAGUGGGUUGCAAAAGAAGUAGGUAGCUUAACCUUCGGGAGGGCGCUUACCACUUUGUGAUUCAUGACUGGGGUGAAGUCGUAACAAGGUAACCGUAGGGGAACCUGCGGUUGGAUCACCU
rnacentral:rRNA from 2 species